rnacentral:lncRNA from 1 species
GCUUAGAGAACAGGAAGUGGGAGCCACAUACCCCGAGCUGGCGGCUUGAGCCUGUGGUAUCUAGGCUCACCUCACUGCGGUUGGUGGAGGUGAUGGAGGUUGCAGCUUGGCCAGCAUGGUAGAAAGGUGGCAGGGUAGACUCUAGAUUCUAGAGGGCAACCUCUGUUUGCUCAUGCUGGAGCGUGGCAGGUGCACAAUGUUUCCUUGGGAAUCCUCAGCAGGGCACGUCUGGCUUUUACCACCCAGUUGCUUCGAGCCAGGAGAUGGAGGAGUCAUCUGUUGCACGCUGGAGGCUGGAGCCUGCAGAUGGCAUGGUUCUGUGGCUCACCUCGCUGCAGUUGGUGGCAGAGACAGAGACUGCAGCUUGACCAGAGUGGUGGAGUGAGUAUUGUCAUCUGCAUGAGCAAAUCUGGUUCAUCACAUCUUUGCAACAGGAAAAGGAAGGGAGGAUCAUGUGUAUAAUGUUUUAAGGCCAAGAUUCACAACAAGAACAAAGUCUUUAUUAACUUUUGCCUUCAAGAACCUGCAGUGUUGAGCCCUUUUUUAUUUCUGGUAUUACU